rnacentral:rRNA from 1 species
UGGGGAAUCUUGGACAAUGGGGGCAACCCUGAUCCAGCCAUGCCGCGUGAGUGAUGAAGGCCUUAGGGUCGUAAAGCUCUUUCGCCUGUGAAGAUAAUGACGGUAGCAGGUAAAGAAACCCCGGCUAACUCCGUGCCAGCAGCCGCGGUAAUACGGAGGGGGUUAGCGUUGUUCGGAAUUACUGGGCGUAAAGCGCGCGUAGGCGGACUGAUCAGUCAGGGGUGAAAUCCCGGGGCUCAACCCCGGAACUGCCUUUGAUACUGUCAGUCUUGAGUCCGGAAGAGGCGAGUGGAAUACCGAGUGUAGAGGUGAAAUUCGUAGAUAUUCGGUGGAACACCAGUGGCGAAGGCGGCUCACUGGCUCGAUACUGACGCUGAGGUGCGAAAGUGUGGGGAGCAAACAGGAUUAGAUACCCUGGUAGUCCACACCGUAAACGAUGAAUGCCAGUCGUCGGGUAGCAUGCUAUUCGGUGACACACCUAACGGAUUAAGCAUUCCGCCUGGGAGUACGGUCGCAAGAUUAAAAGCUUAAAUGAAUUGACGG